CGCCAAUUAAUUCCCUUUGUACUCUACAUUUUAAAGACAAACAUAACACGCAUAUCGUUACAUUCUCUAAUGUAGCAGGCCACAUAAUAGCGUAUAAAUACACAAACACAUCAUACAUUCAGAGAACAUACUUGCAAGCAUUCAUAUAUUUACACAGCUUUAUGCAAGCAUAACUUUCUCAUUUACCGUAAUCAUAUACAACCAU
rnacentral:lncRNA from 1 species